rnacentral:lncRNA from 1 species
CGGGCUGCCUCCGCAUGGACCUACACGGCAGCGACGGCGACGCGCCCGUGGCUGAUGCCUUACCCGGUCUGUCUGGACGAAAGCGCAUCCGCAGUUUUGAAGAUAUAAGCAAAUUCCAGGUGGGAGGCAGCGCUGAACCAGCCAAACAGGACUGGCGGAAAGGGUUCCAAGGGUGUUUCAGAACAAAGGAAGACUUUAGACCUCCAGUUUGUGCCUCUUGUCCUGUCACCGGACACCACAGAGAAGAGAAAUUUUAG